rnacentral:rRNA from 1 species
GACGAACGCUGGCGGCGUGCCUAAUACAUGCAAGUAGAACGCACAGUUUAUACCGUAGCUUGCUACACCAUAGACUGUGAGUUGCGAACGGGUGAGUAACGCGUAGGUAACCUGCCUGGUAGCGGGGGAUAACUAUUGGAAACGAUAGCUAAUACCGCCUAAUAUUAAUUAUUGCAUGAUAAUUAAUUUAAAGGUGCAAUUGCACCACUACCAGAUGGACCUGCGUUGUAUUAGCUAGUAGGUGAGGUAACGGCACACCUAGGCGACGAUACAUAGCCGACCUGAGAGGGUGAUCGGCCACACUGGGACUGAGACAAGGCCCAGAAACCUACGGGAGGCAGCAGUAGGGAAUCUUCGGCAAUGGACGAAAGGCUGACCGAGAAACGCCGCGUGAGUGAAGAAGGUUUUCGGAUCGUAAAGCUCUGUUGUAAGAGAAGAACGGGUGUGAGAGUGGAAAGUUCACAAUGUGACGGUAUCUUACCAGAAAGAGACGGCUAACUACGUG